UGGGGAAUCUUGGACAAUGGGGGCAACCCUGAUCCAGCCAUGCCGCGUGAGUGAUGAAGGCCUUAGGGUCGUAAAGCUCUUUCGCCUGUGAAGAUAAUGACGGUAGCAGGUAAAGAAACCCCGGCUAACUCCGUGCCAGCAGCCGCGGUAAUACGGAGGGGGUUAGCGUUGUUCGGAAUUACUGGGCGUAAAGCGCACGUAGGCGGACCAGAAAGUUGGGGGUGAAAUCCCGGGGGCUCAACCCCGGAACUGCCUCCAAAACUAUUGGUCUAGAGUUCGAGAGAGGUGAGUGGAAUUCCAAGUGUAGAGGUGAAAUUCGUAGAUAUUUGGAGGAACACCAGUGGCGAAGGCGGCUCACUGGCUCGAUACUGACGCUGAGGUGCGAAAGUGUGGGGAGCAAACAGGAUUAGAUACCCUGGGUAGUCCACGCCGUAAAACGAUGAGUGCUAGUCGUCGGCAGGCAUGCCUGUCGGUGACGCA
rnacentral:rRNA from 1 species